rnacentral:sRNA from 1 species
GUCCAACACUUCCAGAGGUAACACAACUCAUUUAUACCAGAGGGAGGCUUUAGAUCCAUGACUUGUGAAUAGUGAAAGAAUCUGAUAAAGCAUAAGCGAGACCAACAUAAAGGCUUCAAAUGGUGCUG